rnacentral:lncRNA from 1 species
GAGGGAUAUGAGAGCAGGAAGCCACAGGGCCAGGAGGCUGGGGUUUGGGAUAUCAGGAAGUGGCACUCACUCAGCCAUUGCCAAGGCGAGCGAGCCGUCCGUGUGUGCGUGGACCCAGCAUGCUUUGAUUCAUAGGCCCAGUGAGGAGAUGGUGAAGAUGGUGCUGAGCCGGCCCUGCCAUCCUGAUGACCAGUUCACCACCAGCAUCCUGAGGCACUGGUGCAUGAAGCACGAUGAGCUGCUUGCAGAGCACAUCAAGGCCUUGCUCAUCAAGAACAACAGCCUUCCCCGCAAGAGGCAGAGGUGGGCACUUGACUGCUGCCCAGGGAUGGUGGGUUGCCAGUCCUAUACCAGACUGGUUUGUGGGUGACAUCUGAUGGCUUGAAGACAUGUGACAUGGAGGACCACCAGCCCUCAGUCCCACCCUGUUCAGUCCCCUUCCCCCCACCCCCACACUGCGACACUUAGGACUGUCUCUGACCUAAGGAGGGACACUGGAGGAGUGAGUAUUUGACUCUCUGCCUCUCCAUGUAGCCUAAGAAGCUCUAGCAGCAAGCUGGCCCAGCUGACCCUGGAACAGAUCCUGGAACACUUGGACAACCUAAGACUCAACCUAGCCAACACCAAGCAGAACUGUAUGCAGCCUCUCUUCCU